rnacentral:rRNA from 1 species
ACGAACGCUGGCGGCGUGCUUCACACAUGCAAGUCGAACGGAAAGGCCCCUUUGGGGGUCCUCGAGUGGCGAACGGGUGAGUAACACGUGAGUAACCUGCCCUUGACUUCGGGAUAACUUCAGGAAACUGGGGCUAAUACCGGAUAGGAAUCCUUGCUGCAUUGUGGGGGUUGGAAAGCUUCGGCGGUUUUGGAUGGACUCGCGGCUUAUCAGCUUGUUGGUGGGGUAGUGGCUUACCAAGGCUUUGACGGGUAGCCGGCCUGAGAGGGCGACCGGCCACAUUGGGACUGAGAUACGGCCCAGACUCCUACGGGAGGCAGCAGUGGGGAAUAUUGCACAAUGGGCGGAAGCCUGAUGCAGCAACGCCGCGUGCGGGAUGACGGCCUUCGGGUUGUAAACCGCUUUCAGCAGGGGCGAAGCUUGUGGUGACGGUACCUGCAGAAGAAGCACCGGCUAACUACGUG